rnacentral:rRNA from 1 species
UACGUAGGUGGCAAGCGUUAUCCGGAAUUAUUGGGCGUAAAGGGAGCGUAGGCGGUUUGAUAAGUCUGAGGUGAAAGUUCGGGGCUCAACUCCGGAUUGCCUUAGAAACUGUCAGACUAGAGUGCAGGAGAGGGCAAUGGAAUUCCAUGUGUAGCGGUAAAAUGCGUAGAUAUAUGGAGGAACACCAGUGGCGAAGGCGGUUGCCUGGCCUGUAACUGACGCUGAGGCUCGAAAGCGU